AAAGCAAGCCAGUGAGUGGCAUUGCUUUCCAGUUAGAAAGCCUCGGGCGAGCUUCCGGCUGUCAGGAGGACACGCUCCAUAUGUCCUACUCUGGCACGGAGUGUCUACGACGUCCAAUGUCUAUGCUCUCCCUCAUCUCAGGCACCUGGUUUCCAGCACCAAUCAUCCCGUAGACUUCACGUUCUUCUUCAACACCACAGUGUUCUGUUUGCGUUCUUGCUAAUGUGGAUGGCGUCUGUUCUUCACCUGGUGCCCACAGAAGCCAGAUGGGGAAGCUGGAUCUCCCAGAACUGGUGUUGAGACUGUUGUGAACCUUCUGACUGCUGAGAACUGAAUCUGGGUCCUCUACAAGAGCACCAAGGUCUUUUUCCUUUGCUCUCCACUACCCACCCAACACUCCAGCCAUGCUGAUCUGAGUUUAAUCUCUGGAAAAGGAGGCCUGAGAAGAAAUAACAGGACAAUCUGGGCAAAGGGUUAGAGGAUGGCCAGGUAAGUGAAGCAUAAACUCACAGGAAGUUGUAUUCUUAUAUGACAGACAUCAUGACUGAUCUUGAUUCACCCCUUGUCUGGGCACCACUCCACACAUGCACAUACGCCUUCAGUCACAUGCUUUGCCUC